rnacentral:RNase_P_RNA from 1 species
GAUGGUUGCGUGCACGGGUGACCGUGUAUGAGGAAAGUCCGGGCUCCACAGGGCAGAAUGCAAGCUAACGGCUUGCGGAGGCGACUCCAGGGAAAGUGCAACAGAAAAUUACCGCCUGCGCUGCGGGUAAGGGUGAAAAGGCGAGGUAAGAGCUCACCCGUUCCCAUGGUGACAUGGGAACGCUGUAAACCCCAUUCGGAGCAACGCCUGACACGGAGGCUAAGUUGGCCCGACAUCUCCGGAUACGGCGGCUUGAGGCGAGUGGUGACAUUCGUCCCAGAUAGAUGACCAUCCACGACAGAACCCGGCUUACGGAUU